rnacentral:rRNA from 2 species
UGAGGAAUAUUGGUCAAUGGACGAGAGUCUGAACCAGCCAAGUAGCGUGAAGGAUGAAGGUUCUAUGGAUUGUAAACUUCUUUUAUACGGGAAUAAAGUUAGCCACGUGUGGCUUUUUGUAUGUACCGUAUGAAUAAGGAUCGGCUAACUCCGUGCCAGCAGCCGCGGUAAUACGGAGGAUCCGAGCGUUAUCCGGAUUUAUUGGGUUUAAAGGGAGCGUAGGCGGGUUGUUAAGUCAGUUGUGAAAGUUUGCGGCUCAACCGUAAAAUUGCAGUUGAUACUGGCGACCUUGAGUGCAACAGAGGUAGGCGGAAUUCGUGGUGUAGCGGUGAAAUGCUUAGAUAUCACGAAGAACUCCGAUUGCGAAGGCAGCUUACUGGAUUGUAACUGACGCUGAUGCUCGAAAGUGUGGGUAUCAAACAGGAUUAGAUACCCUGGUAGUCCACACAGUAAACGAUGAAUACUCGCUGUUGGCGAUAUACGGUCAGCGGCCAAGCGAAAGCAUUAAGUAUUCCACCUGGGGAGUACGCCGGCAACGGUGAAACUCAAAGGAAUUGACGGGGGCCCGCACAAGCGGAGGAACAUGUGGUUUAAUUCGAUGAUACGCGAGGAACCUUACCCGGGCUUAAAUUGCAACUGACUGAACCGGAAACGGUUCUUUCUUCGGACAGUUGUGAAGGUGCUGCAUGGUUGUCGUCAGCUCGUGCCGUGAGGUGUCGGCUUAAGUGCCAUAACGAGCGCAACCCUUAUCGAUAGUUACUAGCAGGUCAUGCUGAGGACUCUAUUGAGACUGCCGUCGUAAGAUGUGAGGAAGGUGGGGAUGACGUCAAAUCAGCACGGCCCUUACGUCCGGGGCUACACACGUGUUACAAUGGGGGGUACAGAAGGCAGCUACACGGCGACGUGGUGCUAAUCCCGAAAGCCUCUCUCAGUUCGGAUUGGAGUCUGCAACCCGACUCCAUGAAGCUGGAUUCGCUAGUAAUCGCGCAUCAGCCACGGCGCGGUGAAUACGUUCCC